UCCCUAGUGAUUCAGUUGGUAAAGAAUCUGCCUGCAAUGCAGGAGGCCCAGGUUCAAUCCCUGGGUCAGGAA
rnacentral:tRNA from 1 species